rnacentral:rRNA from 1 species
UGGGGAAUCUUGCACAAUGGGCGAAAGCCUGAUGCAGCAACGCCGCGUGCGGGAAGACAGCCCUAGGGUUGUAAACCGCUUUCAGCAGGGAAGAAACUGACGGUACCUGCAGAAGAAGAUGCGGCCAACUACGUGCCAGCAGCCGCGGUGACACGUAGGCAUCAAGCGUUAUCCGGAUUUAUUGGGCGUAAAGAGCUCGUAGGCGGUUCGGUAAGUCGGGUGUGAAAACUCUGGGCUCAACCCAGAGAGGCCACUCGAUACUGCUGUGACUAGAGUGCGGUAGGGGAGCGGGGAAUUCCAAGUGUAGAGGUGAAAUUCGUAGAUAUUUGGAGGAACACCAGUGGCGAAGGCGGCUCACUGGCUCGAUACUGACGCUGAGGUGCGAAAGUGUGGGGAG